CCCUUAGAUGUCCUGGGCCGCACGCGCGUUACACUGAUGCAUUCAACGAGCUUAUAACCUUGGCCGAGAGGCCUGGGCAAUCUUGUUAACGUGCAUCGUGAUAGGGAUAGAUUAUUGCAAUUAUUAAUCUUGAACGAGGAAUUCCUAGUAAACGCAGAUCAUCAAUCUGCAUUGAUUACGUCCCUGCCCUUUGUACACACCGCCCGUCGCACCUACCGAUUGGAUGUUCCGGUGAAGCCUCGGGAUGAGGACUGGUGCCUUUAUUGGCAUGAGUUGUUCAGAACUUGUCUAAACCUUAUCAUCUAGAGGAAGGUGAAGUCGUAACA
rnacentral:rRNA from 1 species